rnacentral:rRNA from 1 species
YUACGUGCCAGCAGCCGCGGUAAUACGGAAGGUCCGGGCGUUAUCCGGAUUUAUUGGGUUUAAAGGGAGCGUAGGCUGGAGAUUAAGUGUGUUGUGAAAUGUAGACGCUCAACGUCUGACUUGCAGCGCAUACUGGUUUCCUUGAGUACGCACAACGUUGGCGGAAUUCGUCGUGUAGCGGUGAAAUGCUUAGAUAUGACGAAGAACUCCGAUUGCGAAGGCAGCUGACGGGAGCGCAACUGACGCUGAAGCUCGAAGGUGCGGGUAUCGAACAGGAUUAGAUACCCUGGUAGUCCGCACAGUAAACGAUGGAUGCCCGCUGUUGGUACUUGGUAUCAGCGGCUAAGCGAAAGCAUUAAGCAUCCCACCUGGGGAGUACGCCGGCAACGGUGAAACUCAAAGGAAUUGACGGGGGCCCGCACAAGCGGAGGAACAUGUGGUUUAAUUCGAUGAUACGCGAGGAACCUUACCCGGGCUUGAAUUGCAGAGGAAGGAUUUAGAGAUAAG